rnacentral:rRNA from 1 species
AUUGAACGCUGGCGGAAUGCUUUACACAUGCAAGUCGAACGGUAGAGGGGGCAACCCCUUGAGAGUGGCGAACGGGUGAGUAAUAUAUCGGAACGUGCCCAGUCGUGGGGAUAACGUAGCGAAAGCUACGCUAAUACCGCAUACGAUCUAUGGAUGAAAGCGGGGGAUCGCAAGACCUCGCGCGAUUGGAGCGGCCGAUAUCAGAUUAGGUAGUUGGUGAGGUAAAGGCUCACCAAGCCGACGAUCUGUAGCUGGUCUGAGAGGACGACCAGCCACACUGGGACUGAGACACGGCCCAGACUCCUACGGGAGGCAGCAGUGGGGAAUUUUGGACAAUGGGCGCAAGCCUGAUCCAGCAAUGCCGCGUGCAGGAUGAAGGCCUCGGUU